CCCUGCACAACACAACAAAUUAACCAAAAUUAAUUAUUUGGACCCAAGUUUUUGUUUUUUAUUUUUGAAUUUUCUCUAUCUAUUGGGGUCCCUACCACUGAAUUUUGGAUAUAAAUCAUAAACAGUAGUCCAAAUUUUAGUGACGGCCAACCAAAUUUUUAUGAUGUUAAAAAUCCACAGAAUUAUUAUUUGUUUGUUUUCAUUUUCAUCCACAUUUCUCUGUCCUUUGAAAGUAACAUAUAUUAUUAGUUAUGUUUACUGUUAUAUACGUGGAGAAAAGACAACGCAAUUUGGUGGGAGAUUUAAAAUUACCUUGACCUAGGACAUUUAAUUCCUAGUAGUGUGGAGGUGGCGGUGGCGAUGAGUAGUAAUAAACGGGAGGUGGUGGGGAAUGGUAUACUGGUGGUGGUGGAGAAUGAUAGACCGGAGGUGGUGGGAGUGGUAUACUGGUGGUGGUGGAGAGUAGACGGGAGGUGGAUAGUAUACUUUCUUUGGUGGUGGUGGAGAGUAGACGGGAGGAGGGUAGUAUACCUUCUUCGGUGGUGGUGGAGAGUAGACGGGUGGUGGGUAGUAUACCUUCUUCGGUGGUGGUGGAGAGUAGACGGGUGGUGGGUAGUAUACCUUCUUCGGUGGUGGUGGAGAGUAGACGGGUGGUGGGUAGUAUACCUUCUUCGGUGGUGGUGGUGAGUAGACGGGGGGUGGGUAGUAUACCUUCUUCGGUGGUGGUGGUGAGUAGACGGGAGGUGGGUAGUACACCUUCUUCGGUGGUGGUGGUGAGUAGACGGGAGGUGGGUAGUACACCUUCUUCGGUGGUGGUGGUGAGUAGACGGGAGGUGGGUAGUAUACCUUCUUUGGCGGUGGUGGUGAGUAGACUGGUGGUGGGUAGUAUACUUUCUUUGGUGGUGGAGGAGACUUAUAGACGGGUGGUGGAUAGUAUACCUUCUUGGGAGGUGGGGGAGACUUGUAGACUGGAGGUGGGUAGUAUACCUUCUUUGGUGGUGGAGGAGACUUAUAGACGGGAGGAGGGUAGUAUACCUUCUUGGGAGGUGGGGGAGACUUGUAGACGGGAGGUGGGUAGUACACCUUCUUGGGAGGUGGGGGAGACUUGUAGACGGGAGGUGGGUAGUACACCUUCUUGGGAGGCGGGGGAGACUUGUAGACGGGAGGUGGGUAAUACACCUUCUUAGGUGGCGGAGGAGACUUGUAGACGGGAGGUGGGUAAUAAACCUUCUUGGGUGGCGGAGGAGACUUGUAGACAGGAGGUGGGUAAUACACCUUCUUUGGUGGUGGUGGAGAGUAAACUGGUGGUGGAUAGUAAACCUUCUUGGGUGGUGGUGGAGAGUGAUACACUGGAGGUGGAUAGUAUGAUUUCUUGGGUGGUGGAGGAGAAUGGUAUACUGGAGGCGGGUAAUAUACCUUCUUAGGUGGAGGAGGAGAAGCGUAGAUAUAAUUAGCAUUGGUAGUGGACGGCAGAGUUAGGGAAAGGAGAGCAACAAAGGCAGCAAAAAGAAUAGGAGCCAUUGAAGAUCCCAUUUUUCCCAUCCUUGAAUGGAUUGGUGGGUUUUUAACACUGCCUUUCCUCCCCUUUAUAUAGCUUUGUCCUUUUACCCACUUCACUCACUCAAACCCCCCUCUCAAGUCUUAACAUAAUGAUCACCGGUGAAAUCUAAUUUAAUUACUCCACCUAAUUUUUUUUUAAUUAAAAACCAUGAAAAUCAUAUAGACAUGCACACAUAUUAUUGUCGGUAGAUGACAAAGAUAGUUAAAAUAAUAUUAUGUGUUGUCAUCAUGUUUGGACUAAUUUUAUAUAACCUUCCACCAAGGAUUUUACCUUUUCAAUAUAUACAUAUAUGUGUGUAUAUCUGACAUUAAAGAUGUGAGAUAUUUUUGUUCAUCAGGGUUGCUUAAGCUGAUAAUAAACACAUAUAUAGUUAAAUUAAUCUUACAUACACCAACAGUGUUACUAGUUAGAUAUGUAAAUAAAUUUAUAUAAUUAAAGUUACUCAAAAUCUCAAAAUGAUGUUAAUAAUUGGUGUAAUAUAAAAAGUAAUUAGCUAGAAAGAGAAAGAAAUAAUUAAAUUGAAAAUAUAAUUUGGUGAAUUAGUGUUGGAAUUAGGAGGAGGGGUUGAUGGGAGUGGGACCCGGCGGCUUGACUUAUUCUUCAUCUAAUUUUUAAGCUUUGAGAAUGGGAGCGAUGGUCCAUUUUGUAGGGUUGCUUUCACUGUUACACAAUUUGCAUGGCCUUGGCGUUUACUCCUACGUUUUUCUGUGGGCGACCACUGGGGUUCCUAUUCAAAUACUUCCUAUCUAUACUUUUUCUUUUUUCUUUUUGUUCUUUUCAUUUUCCUUUUUUCUUCUUUUUGAAUCACUUCUCUUCUCAAAUUCCUUUCCUUUUGUAAUGUAUACUACGUGAAUGAGACCAUAAUUCAACCAGACAAAUAAGUUCUUAGUCUGAAUAUGUAAAAAGCAUCUAUAUCUUAUUCUAUUUAAUCUACGUGCUAUCGUUUACACAAUUUAUAACUUACAUAUACUAUGCAUUAACCACUUGAACAUGUAUGUGUCAAAAUUAUAUUUUUUUGUUAAAUUGUGUUAGAAAUAUUUAAAUAAUAAUUUGAGAACUUGAAUAUAGACUAUAAAUUACAAAUUUAGUUUUUUGGAUUUUAAAACAUAUAUAAUGAGUCUUUUUAAUCAUGCUACAAAACAAUUCGUUAUAUUAUGUUUCUUAAGAAUUUACUAAUAUAUUAUAAACAAAAUUUAAAGUUACUAAUAUAAGACAUUGUUAAUCUUUUCAAUACAAAUUAAAACUUAGUAACAUAUUCUAACUUUAAUCUAAGAAAUAUGAUGGAACAUUUUUAAAAAUAACAAAAUGAACAAUUUUUUUCUUUUACAAAAUAUAAUAAAACUCAAAUCUACCGGAAAUUAUUAGUAUUUAUAAGUUAUAUGGAUAGAAAUAAUGUAAAUUUAUAUUUUAUAAAUAUUUUUGUUAUUUAUAAUAAAUUUUUAAACAUAAUUGAUAUAUUUUUCUAAAAUAAAUUCGUGAAUGAAAGAAAUAGAAUGUAAUUAGAUUUUAAGAGGGUCUAGAUUCAUUUACAUACCCAAAGGUGAAUUAUUGAGGUUGGAGUCAUUCUACACUUUCAAAAUGUUUAAUUUAAAAAAUAAAUUAUUUGGAAGAAAAUUAGAUUAUUAUUUGGAAGCUACUAAAAACAGUUUUUUAAAUAUAUUUUAAGCAUUUUUAAAAAUAAAUUUAAACAAACAUAAGUUUCUUACAAAAUAUUUUUUUCUUAUGUUAACCUAAGAGACUAUAAAUCUUUUUGUCUUUAUGGUAGAUUGGUUCUUCCUUUUUGGAAUAAUCUAUUACAAUAAAUGAUUUAAUUUAAUGUUUAAUUUAAUUUGAAUUGAUUAUUUAUGUUCAUAUCAAAUAGAAAAAUAAAACCUAUUUUUCCAAUAUAUGCAUUAAAAACCUCUGAUUUUUUUGUUUGCUUCAUUCCAACUACUCUAAGCUCAACUUUUAUUUCCUCUUCCUACUUUCUCAAUUUAAUUUACCUAUCAACUCCAAUUACAUAAUGGUGCCCACAAAUACUUUUUCUAUUCUUUUUCCCCAAGGAAAUUAAUAAAAUGUUAUGUUGUUAAUUAAUAUAUAUGGAUUCCAUCAAAAUAUGAGUUAUCAAGGUAAGAAUUUGACCGUAAAUUUAUAUAUACAUUUUUUAUUUGUUGUGAUUGUGAUAUCCUCAACCAUAUUUUUGAAAGAAAAAGAUAACAUAUAUUUUCAAAUAUAACGAAAUAAAUCAAAAUAUUUACAAAAUAUAAAAAAAAAAUUAUAUAUCAUUAUAGUUGAUAUUGAUAGACAUGGAUAUAAAUUGUCUAUUAGGUGUUUAUCAUUAAUGUAAUAUAAAAUUUUGGAGAUAAUUUUAAUAGUUUUAUCCUAGUCCAAAAUUAAUUCCCAAUUGAGGCAUCACAAAAUGGAAAUUUUCUUCCUAAUAAGUCUACACUUACAUUUAAUAAGGUUGAUAGACAAGUUGAUCUGAUUAGGUGACAUUCAUAUACAUAUAUAUGAUCUAGACUAUAUAUUAAUAUUAAUGAGGGUAAUUUUAUUAGCCACUUAUUAUUAUAAAUCAAAACUCUUAAAUAAAAAAGAAAUUAAAAAUGAAAGAAAAAAAACGAAAAAUUAUUAGUUUAAUUUUCGAAAAUCAAAUCUCAAUGGUGAAAGUGGAAUGAACGUCUCAGCAUACAGUGUGCAAAUUAAUUUGCGAAUGAAUGUUGCUUUUUAUGAUCAAGUCUUGAUUCAAUUUACUUGGAUCAAUAGCUUUAUUCAAAUUUUUGAAUUUUUUUUUCGAUAGACUAUAAGUUAUAACAUUAGAGUGAGAACAGAUUCAAACCUACAAUAUGCUCAAAUUAAAAUUAAAAUUGUAUCAUUGGAAAAUAUCUAUUUUUAAAAGCAUUUCAUGUUUUUUCUUUCCUUUCCUUUGGAUUGUGUAAGUCAUAUAUAGUUUAUUGUGUAAGCAAUACUUUUAUACACUUUUCUUUCAUAAUUGAAACGACAAUGAUGUAAUGAUAUAUGUUGUAUUAGGACAACAAAUUUUUUAAAUAUUUCUACCGUGUAUAGUAUGAUAUUGUCCACUUUAUGUAUACAUCUUAAUAGCAAAUUUGUAACCAUUUAUUUUUUAUAUGUCAUACAUUAGUAUUUUAGUUUUGAUGGUGAAAUAUUUUAUCAAAAUGAAAUAUAGAUAUUAAUCACUUAACUAUAUACUCAUUGAUAUUUAAUUGAUUUUCACUCAAUUUUAGUUACAGAAGCAGGAAGCUUUGUUUAGGACUUAAAUCAUUACCACUUUUAAACUACAAAGGAUCGUUAUAAUACUACACAUUAAAGAUUAAACUAAAUUUAUACAAAUUGGUAAGUAUAGAAACUAAAUUAUCUACAUCCUUACAAUUUAAGAUCAAAACAGUUAUUUAAAUAAUAUUAUUACAUAACCUAACAAUAAUUGUUAGGGUUAAUGGUUAGAUCAUAAAAGAAAAUUGUAUGUGAAGAUACUAACCAAAUUAUGAUCCAGGCCUAUAAAUAUAGAUGAAAUUUCAAACUUCCAACAUUUUUUUCUAGAGUUUCUGUAUUUUUUUCUAGUUAAACUAUAAUCAAGGUUACAUAUGAGCCAUCAACUAUAUAUAUAUAAGAGAAUAGAUUAAUUAAUUAAAUUUUUGUGGGGAGUGUACGUAUGCACGUAAGAAUCAUAUGGUAUUUUGACAUUGAAUAUUUUUGUGUUGGGUGUGAGUUGUUUAAAGUGGGAGUAGGUGAGAAAUAGUUCAGAUACGUAAGUAAAAGAUAUGUUGGGUUUGGGUUAGGAAAAGUUGUUAGCUAAUCAAAUCAUUUUUAGCCAUUCAUAUGUGUUCAAUAUUAUUGGAGGAUUCUAUAACAGUGUGCUAGAAAUCAAACACAAUAGAAACUAUAACAAUCUUAUCUUAUCGGAGUUAGCUAGAUAUAAUACGAUUUGUUGUAUGAUAAACGAACUUACAAUAUAUUUUUAAAUCGAUGUAUGUAUGAGAAACGCAAUAUAUUAAAACAAUUUUUCUUUGUUUAAUUAUAACUUUUGUCAAAUGGAAAGUUAGGGUUUAGGACAUACUGCCCACAAUAUGCCUAAGCUCUAAAUUUUAAAAAUCACAAUGUGAGAUGUAAGACAAUUCAAUCGAAUAUUUAAAAGAUUAGUAAAAGCAAAUAAACGAUAUAUUUACGAUAACUCAAUUUAUUUAACAUUUUUUUUAUAGGUUUUCGAAUUCAAUUCAACUUUUCACUUAGAAAACGAACAUUCUAAAUUCACAAAUAACUCAACUAGUAAAUAUAGAUAAUAUAUUUAGUAGAUAUUUUAAAAAUUGUGAAAUGAUAAAACGAAGACGAUGAAACUACAAAUAUAAAUAUCAAAAUAAUAAUAUUAUCGUGAUAAAAGCAGUACAAACUACAAAUGAAUAAGCUUAUUUAUUCAUUUGUUUGAACUUAUUGAUUUAUUUACUAUCACACUUUUUCAUAUCUAAAAUGAAUAAGUAUUAUAAGAUACACCUGUUUAUAUAAUCUCCAUCUGUCCAUAAAAAUUAAAAUAAAAUGAACAUUUUAAUCUGAUUUAUGUGCGAUAGAGAGAUAAACGACACAUGGAUGGAUACAUGUACAUGAACACAAGUGUUCUUUGGGAGGAAUAUUAAUGCACAAUUGGUUUAUCUAUCCCAUUCUCGGAUGUUUCGGUCAAACCCUGUGACUUGGCGCCUAGUUGGACGGAUUUCCGCUUUUAAAAAACCAAAAACAAUGCUAUUUGGUUUAAUUUAAUCAAACUAUUAUUCGCCUACGCUUUUUUUUUUUUUUCAUCUCUCUACUUAGCUAUCAACUUCAUUUUAAAAGUGGAGGGCGAAAAUGCCAAACUUUAUAAAUUUGUUUUAAACGAAAAUUGCUAAAAAAAUUAAAUAUAUCGUGAUAAAUUUUACUAUAUUAGUAGAUAUUUUAGUUUAUAAUUAUAAUAUUACAUUUAAAAAUGAAUUCUUUAAAUUUUGUGGAAAAAUAUAAUAUAAUUUUAAUCUAUUAAAUUGCAGGAAGAUUGAAAAAUAAAUUGUUAGUCUAGUAUUAUCCAAAUUGAAAAACUUAAUUGAAAAAUUUUGAAAAAUUUAGAGAUUAGAGAUAUAUAUAACAUUCAAAAUAUAUAAAUAAAGGUAUGUAAUUUAAUAUAAAACAUAUAUGAAGACAGAGAAAUGCAUGAAAAAGCAAUCAUAUCACAACUCACAAAAUUAAAAAGACACAAACCAAAAGAGAAAAAAAUCUUUUAAAAGGAAAAUUUAAAUGAAGAAAUGAAGAUUGGAAUGUGCACUAACAAUUAAACUUCUUGAUCGGAUUGGAAUAUGGAAGAUAAAAAAAAUAAUAUGCAUACGAUAUUGUUGUGAUUAACUCUCAAUUAAUUAAUAUAUAUCACAGGAACCUGUUAGUCAAUGAAAUCCAAAUUGUUUUCUGACCCUCAAUAUGAACGUAUGACAUUUUGGCCCUUAAGUUAUAAUAUAUAAUGAGCAAUAGUUAAUUUAUUAAAAAAUAAAACCAAUAAUAAAAAAAAGAUAAUAGCGUAGAAAGUUGAAAAAAAAUAAUGAUAAAAGGAGUUGUUAAUUAAUGAAUUUGUCAAAUGUGUAUCACAUUUAAUAUUUUAAAAAAUUGACAUGUUUGGUCACCAUAUAUUUGAUUCUUGAGGACAUGUACUAUAUUAUUUUUUUAGAAGCAAUAAUUCUAUAUAAAAAUUGUAUUAAAUGAAAAAAUGGUUAAGAAUAUUUUAAAAUAUAGUAAAAAAUUUAUUAGUGAAUGAUAAUAUAUAGCCGUAAAUAUUUAAAAAUGAAUAUAUGUUAAUGUAAGAAUUGGUAUUAUCUUUGCUACCAAAAUUGUAUUGUUUGAAAAUAGCUGUCAAAUUUAUUGUUUACUACUUGUUCAAUCUCUUAUCCAAAAUUAGGUCCAAUGGUGACUCAGGGUCAAAUUGGCCAAUAAAUGUAAUAUAUUCUUUUUCUUUUUUAUAAAGGCGAUAAUAUUAUUAAUUAAUAUGAGGUAGAUACAAAUAUAAUUAAAUUUAGUGUGAGAUCAUUAUGAGAUGGAUCAUUGCUCACACAACUGGGUUUGAAGUUUUAAUUACUUCUUCUCCCACUUAUAUUAAUUUAAUUUUGUAUAUUCAAUCUUCUUUUAGUUAUUUAAAAAGUGGAAGUAGUGAGAUGAAAUUCUCUAAACAUCACCUUCGAAAAUAGCCAUUAAGAUGAAAUAGCAAACAAAUAUUGUUUAAAAAUAUGAAGUUAUCGAAAAUGAUAUAUAUAAAAAUAUUUGGAACUUUGCAAUAAUAGGUUUUUUCGUAUUAAUGUGAGCAUAACUCUCAAAUGUGUACAUUUCAAAUAUUAUCAAUUGUAUCUCAAGAUUUAUGGUUAGACUUCUUAGCAACUAUUACCCAUAUAUAUUUGUUUUGAAAGAAAUAUUCGAACUUACAACAUUUAUUUUUCAAGUUCAAGUUGAUGUAUGUUAUUUAAAUGAAACUAAAACUUUUAGGUUUUUAACCAAUCUUUCAAUCUAUGGUUUUCAAGUUUUCUAAUGAUAGAUUUAUACUUUAGUUUAACUUUUGAAAAUAUGAAUAGAAAGUAAAUCUGUUAUAUAUAAAAGUAGUAAAUUAGGUGUACACUAACUAUGUUUCAAAAAGAGAAAAAAAGAAAAAAUUAAAAGAGGGUUUAUUAACUUUAAUUUUCAAAAAUUAAAAGAAAAUCAAAUACUUAAUAAAUAAAAAUAAGAUGGUUUUCAAAUGAACAAAAUGAAUCAAACUCUAACAAAAUUUCAAAAUUUAUAAACUUUUAGAAUAUUUCUAUCAGAUAAAUUAUAAAUCAUCUAAAAGUUCAGUUUCCUAUUAAUUAAACAAGACAUUAGAUCUAAUUAAGUUAGGCAGAUAUUAAAAUAAAGUUUGGGCACCGAAUAAAAUAUCCACCAAAGUUGUUUCCAAAAUCAUCAUUAAAAUAAAUUUUACUGGAUCUGCCUAACUUAAUAUUAAAAGAAAGAUUCAAGAUGUGAUAAAAAAUGAAAUUAAACUAUUUGUUAAAAACCAUUUCCCUUUUGACUUUAUUUUAGAUCUCAUCAUUUAUCCAGCUUUGAUUUUUUUAUUUUUUCAAUUUUUAUGUGAGAAAGACACUCAAUAAUUGUUUUCAAAUACAAACAAAUUACAAACUAAAUAACUCCAAGUUGUGGAGGCUGCCAAGACUUUCAUGGGAGGUGUCAAAUAUAUAUGUGAUUGAAUUUGAAAAUUAUUUAAAAUAAAAAAUUGUUAUGGAUAGUAGAAAAGAAUUAUAACUACAAAGUAUAGUCUUUAAUUUGAUAAUUUUUUCGCAAUAUUUAAAAAUGUAGUCAUUCUUCUUAUCUUAUGUCAUAUUGAAAUAUUAUUCAGGUAAAAAACAACAUUCUCUAUUUUCUUAAAUGAAUAAUUUGUUAGGUAUUAGAAAUACUUUUUAAUUGGAUAUACCAAGGAAACACUAUUCUCCACUUAGCGAUACAUAGCAAUGUUGAUGUCAAAAUUUCGUCAACAAAUAUUGGUGUGACCUUAGUUUGGCAACAAUGGUGAAUUUGUAAUUUUGGGAUAAGUUGAUCUGCAAAAAUCCGAAUAAGGUUGGGCACACUGAUGUGGUGUAAACUACACUGGUUUCGGUACUUAGUAAGUUUACAAGAAAAUCUGUAAUGAAAGUAUAAUCAAAUGCACAUAAGACAACGUACCUUCUUUGUGCUUCCAUCAUCCUUCUAUUUAUAAGGUCCUAUCUUUUCUUUUCACAGUAGGUUUUCUUCAAUCGUCAUCCAUGUUAGCUUUCGAGAUCUGGACCCUCCUUGACCCAAAGUUGAGCCUUCCAUUAUAGGUGUCGGUUAAUUUCCUGUAAUGACCCAAAUUUUUAAUAACCAAGCUGGAGUCAUUACUAAUCUAAUUAUCUUUAACUUUCUAAAAACAAUAACGGAAGCAUAAACCAAGUAGUUCCUAUAUGGCUAGUCACAGGUUCUUCUUCUUGUCGCUCGUUAGCUUGCCUUUCCUCUUACCUUUGUCUGAAAAGUUAAACAUGAAAAUGGUGAGUAUAAAUAUAGUACACACAGUAAGGGAUUCACUACUGGUCUUGCUAGGUAAACCGAUAACUUCCUAUUAGGAGGUACCCUGAGUCGUCAUAUCAGUCUAGUGAUCUCGUAGGAACACAAAUCAGGCAUCAAGUGAACCUAAACGUACACUUAACAGUCAAUCAGUCAUCAAUAUCAGUCUAAAGGUAGUGAUCUCGAGGGACUUCGUACAUGUGCAGAGUACACUAGCCUAAGAACUAAAGGUAACAACUACCAUUAGACCAAAUAGGCAUAUUGCAAUCAAACUUAGUCUAAUAAUAGGCAUAAACAUAACAUGCAAUAUCAACCAACAAACUUCAUAGUUACGUAUUCAGUAAAAUAAAUAAAUCAAUACAAUUUUUGUCAAACUCUCACAUAAGACUAUCAAUGCAUUUUAAUUAUGUGCAUGUUAGUCAAUCCAUACAAUACAACUUAAAUCUUAAAUCGAAGGUUCGGUAGUAGAAAUCUCUUACCUCAAAAUAGAAUUAAACUCCUUUGCAAAGUUCCUUGAUGCAAAUCAAACCACAAAUUAACCUAAACAUAAGUAAAAUAAUUAAUAAUUUUACUUAACAAAAUUAUCAAUUAUGGUCAAAUAGUAAUCCUUGAUAGGCAUGCAAAAAGCAUCGUACUUUUUACCGUAAGCAUUCCUAAGUUACCACAGGUUACUCAAAUUCAUUGCACUUUACACAUUCCACGAUAGCCUUAGACCAAACCAAUUACUACCCUUAAUAAACUAUCAGUAACUCAUAAUUAAGUCAAUAGUUAUCCAUCACAAUUAUUACAGUAACACAUAGGAUAUGCAAAUAACUCUCCAUAACAGUUAUCAAAGUACCCCAUAAGCCAAAUAAACAAUUCAUCAACAAUGGACUUGCAGUAAACUAAUUGACAACAUACCAUAUUAGUAAUCCAUAGUAGGCAUGUAAACAAUCAUCAUACUUCACAACCAUCAGAGUCUAAUUCACAACAUACUAUAUCAGUAAUUCAUAAUAGACAUGUAAAUAAUUAUCAUACUUCACAACAAGCAUAGACAAUUUCCAUUGUAAGCAUACGCAAAUAAUUAUCUUGUACACCUUAACCUAAUUCAAUGACUACCCUUCACAAUUUAAUUAAAGCUAACCUUAGGUUAUACAGAUAAUUCACCAUUACAAACAUAUCACAGACUAUGCAUAAAGUCGUAUCACCAUUAAUUAUCACAGCGUAACUGAACCCUUAAUCGAGUAUCCAGUAGUAGAAUAACUCUUACCUUAGGUUAUGCUAAGUUCCUUUGUUGCAAAUGAAAACCACAAUUUUACUUAUGCAUAACCAAAAUUAAAUUAACGAUUUUCAACAAAUUACUAAUUUAAUUACCUUAGCUUACCAAAUGGAAGUUGAAAAUGCUCUCAAUCUUGAUGGAAAAAUUCAUCACUUAAAUCCAUGUUUUUUCAAAGGGACCUUCCAAACGUAUGCAACCAAAAUCAAUUUUAAUAAUAAACUUAAUUUAGAGUUUCUCAAUUCACUUUUAUUGGGUAUUAAAAUCCUACACAAAGACAAAAAACACUCAAGCAACUCACCAAUCUUAAACCAAAUCGGUGAGCAUGAUGACAGACAACACACAACUCAUCCAGAUGAGGUUGGACGAAGAAGAAAGCGAUAUCGAAGAACAACGAAGAAGAAUUAAGGGAGAGAGUUAGCAACUCGAGUACGUUGGGGAAAAAGAUGAAUAUAUUUUGUGCUUUCAUAGAUAAUUAACGCAUGAACCCUAAUUUAUAACGAAAUAAUAAUAAAAUCAAUAAUACUUUAUUAUUAUUUAAUUCUUUUUCUUGAAAUAUACAUAUUUAUCUACAUUCCCUUCUCUUCCAUAAUUAAUUCCAUCUUUUUACAAAAAUUAUAUUUCAAUAUAUAAUUAUAAAAAAUUUCCACUAAUUAAUUAUAAAACCAAAACUAUAUAAUUAAUAACAUACACCACCAAAUUCCAAAAUCUUUAAUUAAAUAACAUACUCAUGUAUUUAUACUUAAUCAAUCCAACACAUAACCAAAAUAAAUUCCUUUAACUUUUAAUUCCAAUUAAUCUAACAUCCAUAAUAAUCAAAUAUUAAACUAUUCAACACAAUUAAAUUAAGUAACAAAAUUACUUAAAAUUUUUGAAUGCUACAUUUCCUUUGUUUAUCGUAGCUUGGUUCACCUCGUUUGUCAUUGCUUUGAUCCGUCCUUCCUACCUUGUAGUGACUUUAUAAGAUUUUACACUUGGUUUUAGACUUAAUAAGAUUUUUUCUACGCAAUCACUCGAAUGCUACACUUUUUAGUCUAAAUAGUACGUACGUAAAAUAGAGAUUCGAAUCUUUUAAUAUUUUGAUUUUCCAAAAAAAUAUAAUGCAUGACCUUUUUUUAAUAUUUUAGUUGGUUUAAUUUUCUACUUUUUGUGUGUGUAAAUACAUUUUAAUUAGUAUUCUACUUAGUGUUGAGAUCAUCCUAUACCAGUUAAACUUCUUUUUAAAAUAAGAGAAAAAAACCUUUUCACUCAUCACACUUAGGUCUUGAGAGUGAAAUCUUCUGUCUUCAAGUAAAAAAAAAUCAUUCCAAAUUAGGAAAGGAUAGUUUUUUAUUUUCAUAUAAUUAAAUCGUUAUGAAUUAUUUUUAAAAAAUAUCAUUCAAAACUUUUAGGAAUUUUUGUUGAUCUAUCUUAUGGCGAUGGACUUUUCUCUCACACGAAGAAUUUUUCAAUAAGAUAUUUUUAAUUACUUUAUCAACAAGAUUCUUCAAGAUCUUUUACCAAAAUCUUUAAAGAUCGAUGGUAAGUGUAAAAUCCUUGAAGAUUACUUUUCCAAUUCCGAUUUUAAGUUCAUCAAACUCUAUCUAUUAAAAGAAAUUUUCUUUAUCUUUCGAGGAAUGAAAUUAGGCACAUCGAACAAAGAACUAUAGAAAAACCCUAAUCAGAAGGUAAGACCUUAAUAAUUGCUUGUUUUCAAUGAUCUAAAUCAAUGAAAACUGAUAAUCUUCUAUAGGUUCAAAUAUCAAAGUCAAGGGAGUCUGAUCUUUGGUAAAUAGUACCAAUAAAAUCUAGAGGAAGUCAUCUAAAUUAACGUAGCUUUCUUGCAAUGUUAUACUAAUUUGAGUCUCGAUCAACAAAUCUCUUUAUCUAGUCUCUAUAAAUAGGUAAUAUUCAUCAAACAUGGUCAAAUUUGCGGUGUUCUUUUUACUUUCGAUUUCCUUAACUAAUAAUCUAGCAUUUUAAUUAAAGUAACGAUUCAAAAGUAAAAUAUAUAAUCUAUUUUACUUUUUCAUAACUUUAGACAUGCACGUUUUAAUUUUAAAGCAUUAAGACAUGAGAAUCUUAAAAAGGAUUAACAAAUUGAAAAAAAAAAACGCAAACGUGUUUACAAAUUUUAAUAAAGAUCGAACUAGUGGUUAUGUGUUCAUAUAUAUCAUUCAUUUACUUUUGUUUGUAAAUAAAUUAUAGCAUUCAUAUAAUUUUAUAGAACAAUCACAAUUAUAACAAUCUCAAAAUAUUUCUCAUAUUUAUUAUACAUUAAUGGCUACGCCAAUAAUAACUCUUUGAUCAUGGUUUCAUAUUGCUACUACUCAACUAUAACAUAUAUAUUUUUAGAAAAUUAACCUGAUAAAUCAUUGUUUAUAGAUGUGAUAUAUGCAUGUUAGGAAAUGUGGAGCCAAAACUCCAAAGCCUAAAUUUUGUCUCAACCCAUUGAUUUCCUUAAUUCAUAAGUCUAUUUUUGAUUGGCUAAUUUGGAGGUGAAUUCUUUCCAAAAGAAAUAAUAUUAGGGUUAACUAAAAAGUAUUUACUACCUAUGUACCAUGAAUAAAAGUUGAUGAAGUCAUCAUAUUAUUGUAUUUAAAUAAAUUUUAAAUUUAUCCUUCUUGGUUUUGAAUUUCACAUUGAAUAUGUAUACACGUCUUCAUAUUAUUUCAACUCGAGGGCGAUCUGAUAUAAUUUUCGGUGUUAUCUUUUUCCCCUAUGCUUUAUUAUUUGCAAUUUUAUGAUCUAUUGCUUAUUUAGUUCUAAUUUGUGAAGUGGAAAUUUGAUAUAUAAUUUGGUUUGUUUCUUGUUUAUUUAUAUCUUGUGUAAAUUUCCAAUAAUGCCCUCUUUGAGCUUAUUGAGUGUCAAUUAGAUACAAAAAAAAAUUAGGCAUGUCACGUAAGGAUCUCUAGAAUUUAAUGCUUUUUGGAAAAUUCAAUAUUGCAUGCUUAAUCGUAUUGAUUAAAACAAUAAGAACUUUGGGACAAUUUAGUUAUAUGAAGUAAUUGAAUUGUUUAGGUGAAGAUUCCAUGUAUUUAAGUAAUUAUGAUAGUUCGAUGAAUGAAUUCUUUGAAUAAGGGAGAAAGAUAUCACAAUCCAAGUUAGAUUCUUUGACAAUACAAUUUUCUUUGGUUUGCUUUCUUUCACUAAAAUUUACUUCCUUGCAACAAUUUCUACUCAAAACCCCGUUCGGUCACAUGUGGAUAAAAAUUAGUUUGUUUGAGAAUUAGUAUACUCCUUGUGAUCGACUCGAGCAUGCCAUUAAGACUAGUGCUUGGUGAAUGGAUUAAGUUAUUUAUUUGACACGAGCUUGCAAGACCAAACUCGUAGUCAGAAGUAUACCUUGGAACCGAUGAACUCUCCAAAACUAUUCACAGCUUUAUGUCGCCAAAGUAAAAAAAUUGUUUUCUACGAAAGACGAUAUUCUCUCAAGCUUUUGUUGAACAAACAAGCAAAACAACAUGUGCAACAACCCUAGCUUAAUUAAUAUGAAAAGUUUUCCUUAGGCUCCUUAGUAUGUAAAAUUUUCCUUAGGCUUAAGUAUCACAACGGAACAAAGAAAAAUAUCCUCCAAACGAAUCGGUUCAUCCCAACAAAUAAACUCUGCAUAACAAUAUAAAUAUGGAAGGAAACACAUUUGACAGAAUCCACAAACAACAAAGCAAUCGCAGAGACAAGGCAACUCUAAAACAAUUUAUGGAACAACCGUAGCAACCCAAGAGUCAAAGUAGGAAAUUUUAAACAAAUAUACUUAAAAAUAUCAAGGAACUAAAAAUCCUAAUAAUUAUGCAGUAAAAAUUUUAAGUUUAAUUAUCGUUACACACUAUAGUUCGUUGGGUUCGCCAUAUUUGUAGAAGAAACUCCCUAGCUAUUUUUGAAAAUAAAUUCUAACAAAACUUGUUUUGAACCUACAUCUUAUCAUAAACCUUCAAAACAGAUAUAGAAUAUAAACAAUCAAUCUAAAUAUGAAAAUUUCAAAAAUCCCAAAAAUAAAAUCGUGCAAGUACGAAAGAUAUUCUCUAUUUUGAUGCUUAAAAUACACAUAAAGUAAAAGAAACCAAACAAAGAAAAUCUUUACUACCCCACUUCCAAAUAAUCAAAUAUAUAUCAUUAAAAUUAAACCAUAUAUAUCAAACAAUCCAUUUCAAACAACUUACUUUGUAAAAAUUUCUCAAAUUUUCAUCCAACCCAAGAUGUAAAAAUUGGAGCUAGUGAAGGGUGUGUGUUAGAGCAUCGAUAUUGAAUCAAUUAUCUUAAUUGGUAAGCUUUUUAUUGAUAGAUAAUUUAACAUGGUGAAGUCCAAGCUGACAUUGAAUACAAAGGGACACUUUUUUAAUAAACUUUCCAAGAUCAGGUCAUCCAAGUAAUCUAAACAUAAUUAGUAUAUAUUUUGAAGUUUCUGUUGUUGAGAAUUGAAAAAUACUUGACAUGAGUAGCAAAAAUUAACCAUCAAUUCUUUUAACUCUUUUUUAUCAUGUUUUUAUAUAUGUUUAGGACCUCUCUCAUUUAAAUACAACAAAUCCCAGUGUUCUAACUCUCUAAACUCCUACAAAAUAAAAAUCAUAUUUUGUUUUUUUAGAUUAAUAUUGAAUUUCAUUCAAAAGAAAGACGAAGAAGGAGUAAAUAUAAUUGAAAUCCAUGAACUGACAUAUAGGGAGAAGAAUCAUAUAAUUAUGCCGGUAGGUGACCCAAAUCUUUACAAUACCUUUCUAAUUAUCAAAAUUUUCUAUAUAUUUUAAAUCAUGCAUCUCAAUAUCUACACACGUCUUUAUAAACUUUUAAUAUGUCAACACAGGUGGCAGCCAUUUCUGUGGUGUAGGAGGUAAAAGUUUAACAUUAUUAUAAUGAAGUUAUAAUCUUCAUAAGUCUCCUUUAUAAAGGAACAGUAAUCUAAUAUAAUUUGGAAAAACUAAUUGAAAUGAUUGAAAAGAUGGAAUUUUCAUAUAUGCAAAUUGGGUUUGGUAUAUGCUAUAUUGAAGAUGCCGCCCGAAUUGAAUAAUGUUUAUUUGAAAACGACAUUUAUAAUUGGAUCAUUUAAUUUUCUUUUGUAUAUGAGAAUGGUCCAGUAGAGACUAGAAUCAUCUAUUCAACUGUGUGAAACUGUAUAUCUCAAACUAGGGUUUUCAAACCCUCUAUAGUACAUUGAUAAAUUUAUAAUUUCGAAAAUAAUAUAACUUCCAUAUUAAUUAAUUUUUGGUGCUCGCCGCCAUAGACUUUGAUGCUUCGCAAAAAGCUUAUAUACUCAGGAAAAGUAAGAAACUAUAAAUAAUAACUGUUCGAGGACAUUUAAUAACUCAACUUUUUGUAUAUGACUUUUUGUUUGGUUUUGUUAUAUGACUUUUCAAAUAUUAUGAAAUUAAACCCAAGUUUUAAUAAAUAAAUAAAUAAAAUAUUUCUCAGAUUUAGCUAAAACUUCAAUUCUUUUACCACGAAAGAUGAAAAUGUUGUAAAUAAACGAUGAGAAUUUUCAUAAAAACCAAAUCCAUAAAUUAACUGUUUUUUUUUAUAUUGAAUUUGUUAUCCAUGGUUAGUCAUUUUAAUUUAUAUUUUUUUCUUCCCAAUUUUUUUCGUUGUUAAUUUCAUCUAAUCUUUUAAGAAAACAUUUAAAUUUUUGGUAGAUUUUCUUUCUUUUUUUUAAAAAAAAGGAAAUUAUAAUCUAAAGAAAACUUAUAUAUGUGAGUAGGAAAGAGAAAAAUGAACAGAACCUAAAUAGUUUUCAAAGUAAGACUUACACUAAAAUUUAUUAUUGUGGAAAUCCUAUUAUUCUUUUUAAUAUUCAUUAAUAUUAGUACUAAUUUCAAAUUUGACGAUAUUUUAUGAAAGAACAAAAAUGUGGCGUUGGAUGAAAGAGUAGGUUCGUCUUUUACUUUUCUUUUUCUCUCUUUUUAAAUGAAGAUGAAAGGAUAGAUUAAUUGACUAUGUGGAAAAGAAAUUAGGUAUUGAAUUAAUUCACAGUAUUUUUCAACCCUAAUUAGUGCAAAGUGAAAGUGAAGUAGAGUGUUGAAUGAGUCUUUUGUGUAGUUUGGUAAAGUAAGAUAGAGAAAGAGCAGAAGAAAUUUACACAAAAAUAAAAUAAAAUAAUAAUAUUAAAUUUGUUUAAAAAAAUAGUGAAAUAAGCUAAAUUCAAAAUUUAGGGACAAAUAGUGAUACUUAUCUAUAUUAUUAUCUAUGAUUCGCACGUGUAUAGCGAUAUUUAUCAUUAAUAGGUCAAAACAUUUUGUUAUAUUUAAAUAUAUAUAUAUAUCUAUAUAUGUAUUAUGGUUUUAGUAUAGUAAAAAAAAAUUAAAAGAAGAAGAAGGGAAUGUGUUGAGUGUAUGAUGGGGUUGGUGUAUUAGAUGCCAAAUGAGUCAAAUCCGUCGUAAUAUAGGUCCAUUUAGUGUUGCGGAAUUUCCGUUUAAUUUACAUUCUUUUGUGUUUAACUUAUGCUUCACCAUUUUGCCAUUUUGCCUAAAUAAAAGUAAAAUAUUGUUGGAAAUUACUUGUUAUACUUAUAAUAUUCGCAAUAUGCUAAAAAGAGGUGUCAUGAACUGUUUUUCUAAAUGUUUUUGUGCAAUUUCCUUUGAUUGUCUGAUUGAAGUUAUGAAAAUUUCAAAAUACAUUAUAGUUGAGUGUAUGUUUGGAUUAUGACUUUAUAAGUGUUUAAAUAAAUAAAUAAAGAUAUAUGACCAAAAUUGAAUAGAUUUUGAGAGUAGAUGUGAU
rnacentral:lncRNA from 1 species